CUCCCGCACGCCUCCUCCCUAGUCUCUUUCCCCACCCACCGACCACUGCGGCACUGCCCAACUCCCGCCCCACCUUCUUCCCCGUCGGCGGCCCAACUCCCGCCUCACCUUCUUCCCCGUCGGCGGCCUGACUCCACCGCAGCCCCACGCCUCUACCAGCUGCAGGUUACCCACCAUCCUUGAUGCCGGUUCCAGCCCCAAUCUGGAUCGAUUGGCAAGCCCGCGCGUCGCCCCUGCCGGCCAUCUCCCUACCACGGCCAACCACCUAGCGCACGGCCCCUGCCUUGGUCGGCCACGCCGCGUACCACCCCUUCUGGCGAGAUCUCUUCCCCGGCUAGCCACCCCCUAUCCCCCUUCGCCAUCCCUCCUUCUCCCAUUUUCUGAUCCGUCAAGGAGGACGCCAGGCCGCCACUUUGAACUCCAUGGCCAGCGGCGGUUCACAUGCCCAACCGAAGGCCCUAGAUCUGCUCUGAAUUUCCGUUGCUGCACCGCCACUGGAACCUGAGUGGACCACUGCUGCUCCCGGCAUGAUGCGUGCUGAUGCACAAGAAUACAGCUGACGCGGGUACUGAACCUGUACGAGGGUGCUUCUGAACUGCAUAUAGUUUGGCAGUCCACAUGCAGGAAAACAUGAAGUGAAUUGGUCAGUAUGAAGAAUUUCAGAGAUGAAAGAACUUGAAGUGCGCAGAAUGCCUUCGGUAAAGGUGGUCACUACUGCUGUUUCAUAGACACCAGCAGGCCCUCGUCCACGUGUUUGGUUCAAAAGUUCUGUUAUUUGGGACACAAAUCUGACUGGCAACGACAUCACCCAUAAAAAUGUAAAAGAAGCAGUUCAGGAUCGACGCUGUGGAAGUUCAUUGGUAGCAACGACGGGUGUCCACCAACAGCUGGUUACUUAUAUCACCUUUUGGGACAGUCCCUUUCUUCCUCUCUAUGUAUGCAAGUUAGAUUUUGUUUAAAAUUACAAACCCGCUUGUCCACAUAAGCAUAAAAAAGUGAAGUUCACUUUUAUAAAAAAUGCAAGUUGGCUUUUAUUUAAAAUGCAAGCUCGCCACAUAAGCAGAAAAAUGUGAAGUUCACUUUUAUUUAAAAUGCAAGUCCACUUUUAUUUAAAAUGCAAGCUCGCUUGUCAGCAUAAGCACAAUAAAGUGAAGUUCACUUUUAUUGAAAAUGCAAGUUCGCUUUUAUUUAAAAUGCAAGCUUGCUUGUCCACAUAAGCACAAAAAUGUGAAGUUCUCUUUUAUUUGAAAUGCAAGUUCAUUUUUAUUUAAAAUGCACGCUCGCUUGUCCACAUAAGCACAAAAAUGUGAAGUUCACUUUUAUUUAAAAUGCAAGUUCGCUUGUCCACAUAUGCACAAAAAGGUGAAGUUCGCAUUUAUUUAAAAUGCAAGUUCGCUUGUCCACAUAAACACAAAAAUGUGAAGCUGGUUACUUAAAUCACCUUUUGGGACAGUCACUUUCUGGUAGAUCAGGUUUUAGAGAUACACUAUAUUUGUGGCUUGUAAGUGUUUGUGUUUAUGCUUGAUAGAAGAAAUUUUAUUUCUUCUUUGAAAUUUAGAUGCAACUAAUAGACUUGAUCCUAGUGAUCUGUUUGUGUAGAAUGAAUCAUGCAUGUUGAUCUAGGAAAUGCAUUGUUGCUUGUGGAUGAUCUAUUUUUUGUGAUUUUUAUGCCGAUAAGAUCUAUGAAUUUAUUUUUUGAAGUUCACAUUACUUGAUUGGCGUAGUAAAACUUAUAUCAUAUGUGAAGUUUGCUUUUUUAUAUAUGACUUAACUAUCAUCACAUUGCCCACAAAGCAGCAUUGCAACGAGCUGGGAGUUCUUUGCGGCUGGCUCCCACGGUUGUCACUGCAAGUCAUGCUCUUCUUAUCACAUUGAUAUUUUCCUAAUCCCUGCAUGUGCACUCUUGUUCCAUAGCAGUCCACAGAGCCUCCUGCCAGUGAUGAUCGGCAGUCCACAUUGCAUCAAACCAAGAAGUCAAUCUGAAAAGAGGUAUUUUUUCUAAAUUAUUAGAGAAUGCACUUUGUUUGUCCCGGAAGCUCACAUCUUCUAUCCAGGAAAGUUCAGUGUGUAUACACAUAGUUGUGAAGUUCACUUUAUAUUUUCUGGAGUAGUACAUUUCGUCCAGCAUGGGAGUUCACACUUUUUUGUCGAUGUGAACUACAGUGCUGCCAGGCAUUAAUGCAUCGAUCAGGCAACCUAGACAAUGCAUGGAGCCCUGAAUUUCAGGUGCGCCACCAUGGUCUACCAGGAGCACCAAGCGUGAACUCCUGUCAAUUUCUUUUGCGUUUUUAUUUCAUGAGAAAAAUUUCACUUGAGAAUUUGAAAAGCGUCACUAGACCUUAGCUUGUACGUGUAUGGUUAUGAACUUGCGUAUUUUUUAGUUCUUUAUUUUUUAUGGAAAAAAAUGAAUCAAGCAUGGGAAAAACAUGGUACAAGUAUGUGCAGAUGCGUGUCUGGCUAUAAAAAGUAGAAGUUCCUUUAGUUUACAAACAAAGUUUAUGUUUCAUUUUGUACAUGCUCACUACUGUCGGUUCAUCUAGAAAAAAAUAGCUUUUCUAUGUGUACACAUAAAAUCAAUUCAUGUGUGCUUUAUUUGUUGUUUGCUAUGGAGAAGUUCACUAAUUUGUUUUUGGAAAGUUCACUCUUACGCGGUUAGCUAUGUCUAUGGGUAAGUGUCGAUGGUACAGACAUAGAAAACUAGAAGUUCGGAUUUAAUUGUUGAGCGGUGCAGUUCACAUGGGCGUUGGCGAACAUCCGUCGGUGCACAUACCUCCGCAUCGGCGUUGGUGAACAUCAGUGCACACCAAGUUCCUCGUCGGGAUGAGAUGUUUUUGCAACUGACUGGCUAUGAAGUUCACAUCUCUUUUUAGGGUAAGUUCACUGCGUGAGGGGAAAGACGUUUAGUUAAACACUACAGUAGCUAAUAUGUUGUGGUACAGUUCAUCAUUGCUCAUGAUAUGUUGUUGGAUGCUGUUGAUGUAUUAUCUGUCGUGCAGUUUCCAUUGAUGCAUUAGCUGCUGUAAGCUACUAUCGAUGUUCAUGUUUGGAUUUUACCCCUUCUCGUUCGAUGUUAAUGCUUAGUUAUUACCAAGA